AGCGCGGUGCGCGACUGGCGAUAGGCCUCAUGGUUUCACAACUCUGAAGGCCGACGUGGGACACCACGGGGAAGCGCACCGUUUGAGGUCAUCUGGCCAAAAAGCGUUCAGCCGUUCGCCUGGGCAGCCCUU
rnacentral:ncRNA from 18 species